rnacentral:rRNA from 1 species
CCUACGGGAGGCAGCAGUGGGGAAUAUUGGACAAUGGGCGGAAGCCUGAUCCGGCCAUGCCGCGUGUGUGAAGAAGGCCUUUUGGUUGUAAAGCACUUUAAGCGAGGAGGAGGCUACUAGUACUAAUACUACUGGAUAGUGGACGUUACUCGCAGAAUAAGCACCGGCUAACUCUGUGCCAGCAGCCGCGGUAAUACAGAGGGUGCGAGCGUUAAUCGGAUUUACUGGGCGUAAAGCGUGCGUAGGCGGCUUUUUAAGUCGGAUGUGAAAUCCCCGAGCUUAACUUGGGAAUUGCAUUCGAUACUGGGAAGCUAGAGUAUGGGAGAGGAUGGUAGAAUUCCAGGUGUAGCGGUGAAAUGCGUAGAGAUCUGGAGGAAUACCGAUGGCGAAGGCAGCCAUCUGGCCUAAUACUGACGCUGAGGUACGAAAGCAUGGGGAGCAAACNGGAUUAGAUACCCUGGUAGUCCAUGCCGUAAACGNUGUCUACUGGUCCGUUGGGGCCUUUGGAGGUCUUUAGGUGGCGCAGCUAACGNGAUAAGUAGACCGCGUGGGGAGUCGGUCGNGAAGACGUUAAAACGUUAAGGAUUGGACGGNUGAGACGNGCGACGGACGACGACGAGGGAGGAGG